rnacentral:rRNA from 1 species
GUGGGGAAUAUUGCACAAUGGGGGAAACCCUGAUGCAGCCAUGCCGCGUGUGUGAAGAAGGCCUUCGGGUUGUAAAGCACUUUCAGCGAGGAGGAAAGGUCAGUAGCUAAUAUCUGCUGGCUGUGACGUUACUCGCAGAAGAAGCACCGGCUAACUCCGUGCCAGCAGCCGCGGUAAUACGGAGGGUGCAAGCGUUAAUCGGAAUUACUGGGCGUAAAGCGCACGCAGGCGGUUGGAUAAGUUAGAUGUGAAAGCCCCGGGCUCAACCUGGGAAUUGCAUUUAAAACUGUCCAGCUAGAGUCUUGUAGAGGGGGGUAGAAUUCCAGGUGUAGCGGUGAAAUGCGUAGAGAUCUGGAGGAAUACCGGUGGCGAAGGCGGCCCCCUGGACAAAGACUGACGCUCAGGUGCGAAAGCGUGGGGAGCAAACAGGAUUAGAAACCCUAGUAGUCC